rnacentral:rRNA from 1 species
AAAGCGUGCGCAGGCGGUUUUGUAAGACUGUCGUGAAAUCCCCGGGCUCAACCUGGGAAUGGCGAUGGUGACUGCAAGGCUAGAGUUUGGCAGAGGGGGGUAGAAUUCCACGUGUAGCAGUGAAAUGCGUAGAUAUGUGGAGGAACACCGAUGGCGAAGGCAGCCCCCUGGGUCAAGAUUGACGCUCAUGCACGAAAGCGUGGGGAGCAAACAGGAUUAGAUACCCCUGU